GUGGGGAAUCUUGCGCAAUGGGCGAAAGCCUGACGCAGCCAUGCCGCGUGAAUGAUGAAGGUCUUAGGAUUGUAAAAUUCUUUCACCGGGGACGAUAAUGACGGUACCCGGAGAAGAAGCUCCGGCUAACUUCGUGCCAGCAGCCGCGGUAAUACGAAGGGGGCUAGCGUUGCUCGGAAUUACUGGGCGUAAAGGGCGCGUAGGCGGACAGCUUAGUCAGAGGUGAAAGCCCAGGGCUCAACCUUGGAAUUGCCUUUGAUACUGGCUGUCUUGAGUUUGGGAGAGGUGAGUGGAACUCCGAGUGUAGAGGUGAAAUUCGUAGAUAUUCGAAAGAACACCAGUGGCGAAGGCGACUCACUGGCCCAAUACUGACGCUGAGGCGCGAAAGCGUGGGGAGCAAACAGGAUUAGAUACCCCUGUAGUCC
rnacentral:rRNA from 1 species